rnacentral:lncRNA from 1 species
UACCAAUAGGAAGCUUCACAGGAGACGUUGUUAUCAGGAGAGAGUCUGUGAAAAGGAAGUACAAGAAAUAAGUAAAUGGAAAUGUAAAGUAAAAUUCAGAUGUAGAUGAGUAAAUACAAAUACAUUGAAAGCUGGCAAAAUGAGAUGCAAUAAAGAUCUGAGCCCUUGAAGUCUGCAGAGAGCUAUCUGUCAAUAUGUCAUUAUAACAUGGCUUCAGGAAAACUACAAAGUCCACUGCUGUGGCACAACCUGUCCUUUCCACCACACUGAGAAAUUCCACACUGACAUCACCAGGAAUGGGCUGCGGCCGUCUGCAAGGAAUGCUUGCUUUCUGAGGCUCACAGGACUGUUCCUCUUCCCCAGACACACUGGAGCUCACAUGCAGGUUCAUGAGGCGUCGUCUGCACAGGUAAGACCCUGUGUAAACCAGCAAGGACUUUCCUUCUGUUCCUUGCACUUUCAUUUCCAGGGGAAAUAAAGCCAGGCCCACACAGGCUGCAAGAGAAAGUGGCCUCCAACAUUGUCUCUCCUUGAUUACUGAUCUGGAUAAUCACAACCCUGUGACACACUAAAGUAUACAGGCAGCCUGGAAAAAAAAAAAAAAAAAAAGUGGUUAUCUGAAUUUGGAUUUUGAGCUUACAUUUGCUUUCCAAUAAGGACUCCUUGAGAGGCUCUAACUAGC